CCAGCAGCCGCGGUAAUUCCAGCUCCAAUAGCGUAUAUUAAAGUUGUUGCAGUUAAAAAGUUCGUAGUUGAAUGUCUAGGCCCGCGCGGGGUCGGCCAUCGUGCCAGCACUGCCGCGUGGAGGGCUUACAAACGUGGGGGGGUGGGUGGCUUAACCGCUGCGCGCCCCACCACCAAUUACUGUGAACAAAUUAGAGUGUUUAAAGCGGGCAGGAUGGCUUGAAUACAUUAGCAUGGAAUAAUGAGAUAGGACUUUGGUGCUAUUUCGUUGGUUGCGCAGCAGAGUAAUGGUUAACAGGGACAGUUGGGGGUAUUCAUAUUUGAAUGUCAGAGGUGAAAUUCUAGGAUUCUUCAAAGAUGAACAACUGCGAAAGCAUUUACCAAGGAUGCUCUCAU
rnacentral:rRNA from 1 species